UUAACAACUAUUUAGACCAUUGGUCUGCUUGUUAUCCUUCCAAGUUCAACAGCAUAUUAUCUUUCAAACAUUAAGCCUGUGUGACGGAUUACAACCAGGUAAUAAGCUACCUAUGACUAAUUAAUUAUUAUGUGUGCACACUAGUUGUUUCACUUGAUGUCUGGUAUUAAUUUUGAAUUCUAAUUAAUCUGAAUUAACGCCAAAAAGGAAUAAUCGUCUUCAUCUAGAAUUUUACUUAUUCUCAGAACGUGAAUCUGAGACCACUUAUUAAGAUCUAAAGAACCAUUAUCCCACCUUACCUUGUGUUUGGAUGGUAGUUUCCCAUGGUAUGUUAUGGUAUAGUUAUUAAAGAAACUAUGUUUGUUUUGAUUGUUUCUUAAAGUGUAAGGUAUAGUAUGAUUUAAUUUCAUGAUUUGGUAACCAAAAAAACAUCCAUUUUAUUUAAUCACCCAUUUGGUUGUAUCUCAUGAUUUACUUUUUUUUUUCUCAAUUAUGUCCUUACUUAAUAUUAUAUAAUCUUAAUUUUUUUCUUCACCUUAUAUUAUUUAACUCUAUCUCUCCCAGUCAGACCCCACCCAAUUUUAAAAAAAAAAUUCAAAAAAUAUUUCAAAAAUUUGUUCUUACUCGAUCCUCAUCUCCAAUCCACCUCUAUUCCACUACCCCCACGCCCAAUUUUUUUUUUUUUAAAAAUAAAUUUUUAACCCCGCCACCCUUUAUCAAUUUGUUUUCAUUAUUUUGUGUUAAAUAUAUACAAAUGCUUUAAAAAAAAUAUUCUACAUGUGUUACAACACAAGAAAAUAAGUAAGAAACAAUUUAUUUUCUUGAAAAAUAAUUUUUUUUUUUUUGAAUUUCAUACCGAACACACCCGUAGCGUACACAAAAAAUACAUUCAGACUUUGUAUUUAUCGUCGAUGUUACGUCUCAAAACGUCAAAAAGAAAUGAAAUUUGUUAAUAUAAAAAAUAAUUCUGGUUAUAUUUAUUUGAUCUACUAUUUUAUUGACUUUGUUAGAAUUUACAUUAAUAUAACAACUUAAUAUAUCUACAUGGCAUAAUUAUGAUAAAUUAGUAGGAAGAAAAUUAUUUUAUUGACAAUUAUUGGUUAAUUUAUCAGUUAUAAUAAUCAAGGGUAUUUUAAUAAACUUACUAGUUACAAUAUAGUAUCAUACUGUCAAACCAAACAAUAAAACUGUCACUAAACAUUGUCAAACGAAAUGAUAAAACCGUCAUUAAACAUCAAUGAAUGAUACAAUCUAUCCAACAUUGUAUUGUACUAUAUUGUAUUAUACCAUACUAUACAGUACCAUACAUUAUGAAAUCAGGACAAACCACCAUCUAAACAAAGUGUUAGUAAUAUAUGAAUUAAUAUUGAUUAACUAUAUAUAUUAUAUAUUCUUAUAUUAAGUAUAUAUUCUUUUUGUCUUAAUAUGUAUUAUAUAGUUGUUAAUUCAGUUAUAUGAAUUUCGCUUACUUCAAUUUUUCCUUUGGAUAUUCUUUUUGUUGUUUUUUUACAUAUAUUUAAUUUUUUGGGAUAAAAUAUGAAAUUCAAAACAUAGAAGUUAGCUAAAGAAAAUAUAAUAAACUAUCUUUAAGUAUUAGUUAAGGAUUCUUGAAGAAUUCUUGAUCUUUCACGAGAAAUGGUAUUCAAAGAUCUUAAUUUGAAUCUCAGAAACGCAUUUCGACCAAGGAAAAGAUGUAUUAAAUCUGAAGCUAUCACAAGCAGCUUAGACAAAUAAAUAUAUAUUUAUAUAUACAUCUAAAUAAUCAUUACUAAUUAGUUGUAGGACAAAAGGCUAGCUUAUACAAGGAGGAUUGGGCAGCAUUAACUUGGGAAGGACAUAGUGGGUGACAAGGAUGCAAAAGCUGGAUAAGUAUUUUAUCG
rnacentral:lncRNA from 1 species